GGCCAUAUUUUUCAUAUUGAAAUUUAUAACCAAACUUUUAUACAAACCACAAACCAGAACACUUCACAACUUUUUAUUCUAAACUCUAUUCACAUCAAAAAUGGAGAUAUCAAAGAAGAUAAAAUUUCAGUCCAUCUAGGCCGUACUCACGGCCCCUCUCGAGAUUGUCUUCUUCUCCCAAAAUCCUUCUCCAACUCUUCCUCCUCAGCUCCUAGCGGGGUCCUAAAAUGGUUUUCCCCAAACUGGGAUGAGACUACGUCUCAGCGAGUUCUACCCCACUAAGCCCGAUUAGUGAACCAUUAUACUAAGGCUGCCUAAACACGCAUAGGUUAGAAGACGUACCUUAGCAUCAGAUCCCACCUGCAAGUCAGUACAAUUUAUAAUAAGCACUCAAGCAAUCAUAUCACCGAUCAAAGCAUCAAUCAAAUCGACCUAGUCGAUUACAAGCCAACAAAACUACUCACGGUCAUUCCCAUUCAGUCAAUCAAUUCACAACAUCAAAUCAAAACAAUGAUUAAUCGACCUCGUCGAUUACAUGUCAACCUGACCAUUUCCCGGUCAUUCAAGCUAUUGCUACUCAGAGUCCCACUCGACAACAUUCAAUAUUCAAUGGCUUUACGGUCCCACUCGACCACUUUCAAGAAUCAAUGGCUUUACGGUCCCACUCGACCACUUUCAAGAAUCAAUGGCUUUACGGUCCCACUCGACCACUUUCAAGAAUCAAUUUGGCACAAUUCAAAGCUCAAAUAAAUAAACAGACUGCGUCACGACAAUCGGCACGAGAUUUCGGUCGUCGGCCAUCUCAAUCUUAAUUUCCGAAAAAUAAAUAAAUAAUUAAUUAAUUUCGAAAUUUAAUUAAUAAAUAUUAAUAAUUCAAAUUAGCACAAACUAAAACUCAAUUAAACAAACGGGCUUCACCACGGUCAUCAGCAUAAUUUUCCGGUUCCAGGCCAUCUCAGUUGAAUUUUCAGGAAAUAAAUAAAUAAAUAAUUAAUUUCUAAAAUUAAAUAAUUAAUAUUAAAAAUUCAAUUUAGCUUAAAAUAAAGCCCGAUUAAAUAAACAGACUUCACCACGGUCAUCAGCAUAAUAUUCCGGUUCCGAACCAUCUCCCUUGAAUUUUCGGAAAAUAAAUAAUUAUUUAAUUUAAUUCCGAAAAUUAAUAUUUAAAUGCCCAAAAAUCUCACUUAGGCCCGAAUCGCCAAAUUUAAGCCCGAUUUGGCGUCGGAAAAUUUCCGAGAUGCUUCCAAUAAAUAGUAGACCACGUCUACUUGUUAAUUGCACAAUCAAUUUAUUUAAAUCACAUCACAAUUGACUAAUAAUUACUAAUUAAUUCUAAUCUAACAAGCUAAACAUAAUUAAUUAAAACUAAACCAACCUAAAGCAUAAUUAGUCAACUAAUCCAAGAUUAGUGAGAUUACUCACCAAAUCGCGCGCAAAUCGGAUCAAUCCGACGGCGGCGACGCGAGGCACGAUUGUUCCCAAAGCGACUCACGGAUCCGGGGCCCGGAAAUGGCCCAAAAGCGGGCUCGAAGUCGCUGAAACCCACUCCGUGGGUCUGCUGGACGGAGCCGAUCGGGGCUGUCCCGGCGGCUAGGGCGGCGAGGGAAGGCCCGCGGAGGGCGAGGGGGUCACGGGGGAGGUCCGGCGGGGCUAGGCGGUGGCCGGAGGUGGCCGGACGGUGGCUGGUCGGUGCUGGAACAGGGGCGAACAGCAGCUGGUUCGCUCGGCUUGGGCGCGCACGGACAGCGGGACGGCUGGGCGCGGGCGAAGCGCGCGGGCGCGGCGCGGGCGGCGGUGCGACGGCGGGACGAGCGGCAACCGUGCGGCUUCUUCUUCUUCGUUUCUGGUUCGCCGAUUCCACGAAGAAGAAAGCAGGAGAAGAAGAAAGAAGGGGGUGGGUUCGGUCACGUGGGGGAAAAGUGGGAGAGAAGAGAGA
rnacentral:lncRNA from 1 species